AUUGAACGCUGGCGGCAGGCCUAACACAUGCAAGUCGAGCGGAUGAGAAGAGCUUGCUCUUCGAUUCAGCGGCGGACGGGAGAGUAAUGCCUAGGAAUCUGCCUGGUAGUGGGGGACAACGUUUCGAAAGGAACGCUAAUACCGCAUACGUCCUACGGGAGAAAGCAGGGGACCUUCGGGCCUUGCGCUAUCAGAUGAGCCUAGGUCGGAUUAGCUAGUAGGUGAGGUAAAGGCCCACCUAGGCGACGAUCCGUAACUGGUCUGAGAGGAUGAUCAGUCACACUGGAACUGAGACACGGUCCAGACUCCUACGGGAGGCAGCAGUGGGGAAUGUUGGACAAUGGGCGAAAGCCUGAUCCAGCCAUGCCACGUGUGUGAAGAAGGUCUUCGGAUUGUAAAGCACUUUAAGUUGGGAGGAAGGGCAGUAAGUUAAUACCUUGCUGUUUUGACGUUACCGACAGAAUAAGCACCGGCUAACUUCGUGCCAGCAGCCGCAGUAAUAC
rnacentral:rRNA from 1 species